UACGUAGGGUGCGAGCGUUGUCCGGAUUUAUUGGGCGUAAAGGGCUCGUAGGCGGCGUGUCGCGUCGGGAGUGAAAGCCCGCUGCUUAACGGCGGGUUGGCUUCCGGUACGGGCAUGCUGGAGUGCGGCAGGGAGACUGGAAUUCCUGGUGUAGCGGUGGAAUGCGCAGAUAUCAGGAGGAACACCGGUGGCGAAGGCGGGUCUCUGGGCCGUUACUGACGCUGGAGGAGCGAAAGCGUGGGAGCGAACAGG
rnacentral:rRNA from 1 species